AUGGCGACGUUGCCCAUUAGAUACUUAGGCCUCCCGAUCACCACUAGCAAGCUUAGACUAGUGCACCUGCAGUUCAUCUUAGAUAGGAUUCGAGCACGGUUAGCGGGCUGGAAGGGCAGGCUGCUACCAAUCGCGGGCCGGCGCGUGCUGGUAAGGUGCGUGCUCUCGGCCAUGCCCACGUUCGCCCUCACCGUCCUUCGAGCCCCGAAGAAGUUCUUCAAGGACGUCGACAAGGCCAGGAGGCGCUUCCUUUGGGCGCAUGACGGCGAGAUCACUGGCGGAAAAUGUAAGGUGGGCUGGAAGAUGGUCACAAGACCGGAGCGCGCUGGCGGCCUGGGCAUCCACGACCUGUCUGCUUCACCCGUGCGCUGCGGCUCCGCUGGCUGUGGCUCGCCUGGACGCAGCCAAACCGGCCCUGGGUCGGCUCGGGCGUUCCCUACAACGACGAUGAUGAAUCCCUGUUUGCGGCCUGCACGGUGGUCACCAUCAACGACAGCGCCACAGCCUCGUUCUAGUCGUCCAACUGGCUCGAUGGCAGGCCCCUGCGUGCAGUCUACCCGGAGGUUUUCGCUCAAUCCAUCCGGAAAUGCAGGACCAUGCGGGACGUUCUGCACCAGGACCGAUGGGUUCUCGACCUUCGCCACGACAACUUCAACAACAUCAUCCACAAGGUGCUUCAACUGGCCAGGCAGCUGCGAGACGCCGCAAUCACCCUGGUUGAGGGCACAACAGACACGAUCAGAUGGACAGCAUGCAGCUCUGGCCUGUACUCUGCACGCUCAGCAUAUGAUGUGCAAUUCGAAGACACUCCUCUGCUUAAUUUCAAGACCUCGAUCUGGAAAGCAUGGGGGCCGGGCAAAAUGA
rnacentral:rRNA from 1 species